rnacentral:rRNA from 1 species
GAUGAACGCUAGCGACAGGCCUAACACAUGCAAGUCGAGGGGCAGCACAAGGAGCAAUCUGAGGUGGCGACCGGCGCACGGGUGAGUAACGCGUAUGCAACCUGCCUGUAAGCGGGGAAUAACCCGUUGAAAGACGGACUAAUACCGCAUAAUACUAAAUUACUGCAUGGUAAUUUAUUUAAACAUUUAUGGCUUACAGAUGGGCAUGCGCAUGAUUAGCUAGUUGGAGAGGUAACGGCUCCCCAAGGCAACGAUCAUUAGGGGUUCUGAGAGGAAGGUCCCCCACACUGGUACUGAGACACGGACCAGACUCCUACGGGAGGCAGCAGUGAGGAAUAUUGGUCAAUGGACGAGAGUCUGAACCAGCCAAGUCGCGUGCAGGAAGAAUGUCCUAUGGAUUGUAAACUGCUUUUGCAGGGGAAUAAAGUGCAUCACGUGUGAUGUUUUGUAUGUACUCUGCGAAUAGGAUCGGCUAACUCCG